ACGUGCGCGCGCACCCUGCGGAGUUACUAGCCACGCUGCCGAACUUUUUCUAAAGCAAAGCUCGCGGUUGUGGGAAUAUGGCUGCGGCGCCAACAGCUCAAUCCAGGCUAAAGAGAGGAGAGCGCGGUAAUCUUCCCCGCAUAGCUAGGGGAGAUCCUGGCUGAGAUCACACGGUUUGCUAAGGCAUGGUUCGUUUAGACGUGGGAUGCGAAAAGCCGCCGUGGGCUAGAUUUACAUCAACAGGAAGGGAUCCAAUCUUAUCAGUUGCCCAAAGCCUUCUGGAACAACUGGGUCUUGAUGGAUUUCCGGAGUCCCAACAAGAGGACAACUUGCAGAGGAUCCCAGGAGAUGACCUUAGGAGGAGGAGCAUGGGGCCUUUCCAAGAAACCUAAUAAAAUGAGAAUGUGGAAGGGCCUGCUAAACUCCCUGAGCAUCCUAAAUCAUUUCAUUGAAGUUUUGCCUCGGCUUAGAUAGCCUCCCCAUCACAUCCUUCAAUAUCAAAUGUUCACACUUCAUCUCAAGAAUGAAGAACACUAUGAUCUGGUGGAAGUCUACAAUAGGCCUAGGAUGGUCUGUUUGGCUGCUAAGAAGCUUGAUUGCCAGAAUCACCUUGGGAGAAAAAACGAGUUUAGAAGGAGUUAUGAAAACCUUACAGAGAAGAGAUGGCCUCUUUCUGACUCUUGCUAGACUAAUAGCUUCCUCUUGAGCUCCUGAGCCCCAGUUUUCCCUUGACUAUUCCCAGCCAUGCCUAACGUAGAUAGGUCAUGGACAGUGAGUCCUAGACAAAGGAGAGACUGUUCUUGCCAGAUGUCUGAACUGACUGCUUAUUUUUUUCUACCUUUUUAUUUAUUAACAAGCAGGAAUAAAAACAAUGUAGUAGUGAUAAUACAUGCAAAGUGCAAAAAUAUGUAUAUAAUAGUAAUAAACUGAAGCUUUAAAAUUCCAUAUGUACUGUUAAUAUGCAUUUAACAUAUCAUUGUAUUAUAUAGCAGCAUAAUCUAUAAUCUCUAUUUUUCAU